rfam:Culex pipiens quinquefasciatus supercont3.495 genomic scaffold, whole genome shotgun sequence.
UAAAGAGAGUUUGCGUUUGUCUUAGUUGGUAUGCAUUUAAAAUUAUCAUAAGACACACGCGGCUAUUUUCA